CCCCUAGAUGUUCUGGGCCGCACGCGCGCUACACUGAACAGUUCAACAAGUCUUAACCUUGGCCGAUAGGUCUGGGUAAUCUUUGAACGCUGUUCGUGAUUGGAUAGACCUUUGCAAUUAUGGGUCUUCAACGAGGAAUUCCCAGUAAACGCAAGUCAUCAGCUUGCAUUGAUUACGUCCCUGCCCUUUGUACACACCGCCCGUCGCACCUACCGAUUGAAUGGUCCGGUGAAAUCUCGGGACGGCGGCUUGGUCGCUUGCGUCCGACUGCUGAAACUUGAUUAAACCAUAUCAUUUAGAGGAAGGUGAANUCGUANCA
rnacentral:rRNA from 1 species